rnacentral:rRNA from 1 species
AGCAGCCGCGGUAAUUCCAGCUCCAAUAGCGUAUAUUAAAGUUGUUGCAGUUAAAAAGCUCGUAGUUGAAUUUCGGGAUCAAUGCGUCGGUCGUGCUUUGGGUACGUACUAGCGUCAUUGAUUCCUCCCUUCUGAAGAACCGUGAUGUCAUUAAUUUGGUNUUACGGGGAAUCAGGACUGUUACCUUGAAAAAUUAGUGUGUUUAAAGCAGGCUAACGCUUGAAUACAUUAGCAUGGAAUAAUGAAAUAGGACGUUCGAACCUAUUUUGUUGGUUUCUAGGAUCGACGUAAUGAUUAAUAGGGAUAGUUGGGGGCAUUAGGUAUUCAAUUGUCAGAGGUGAAAUUCUUGGAUUUAUUGAAGUACUAACUACUGCGAAAAGGAUGUUUCAUAUCAAGAACAAAGUUAGGGAUCGAAGACGAUCAGAAUACCGUCGUAGUACUUAACCAUAAACUAUGCCGACUAGGGAUCGGAUGAUGUUAAUUUUAUAAUGACUCA